GACAGAGGGUGCAAACGUUGUUCGGAAUUACUGGGCGUAAAGCGUGUGUAGGCGGUCCAUUAAGUCGGGUGUGAAAGCCCUGGGCUCAACCCAGGAAGUGCACUCGAAACUGGCGGGCUAGAGUAUCGGAGAGGUUGGUGGAAUUCCUGGUGUAGCGGUGAAAUGCGUAGAUAUCAGGAGGAACACCAGUGGCGAAGGCGACUACCUGGCCUGUUCUUGACGCUGAGGCGCGAAAGCUAGGGGAGCAAACGGG
rnacentral:rRNA from 1 species